rnacentral:rRNA from 1 species
GAUGAACGCUAGCGGCAGGCCUAAUACAUGCAAGUCGAACGGGAUCCGGGGGUAGCUUGCUACCUUCGGUGAGAGUGGCGCACGGGUGCGUAACGCGUGAGCAACCUGCCCGUCCCAGGGGGAUAGCCCCUCGAAAGAGGGAUUAACACCGCAUGACGCUGGAGGAUGGCAUCUUCUUCCAGCCAAAUAUUCAUAGGGGACGGAUGGGCUCGCGUGGCAUUAGCUAGUUGGUAAGGUAACGGCUUACCAAGGCGAUGAUGCCUAGGGGCUCUGAGAGGAGAAUCCCCCACACUGGUACUGAGACACGGACCAG